rnacentral:tRNA from 1 species
GGUAGGAUGGCUGAGAGUUUAAGCGGUGGAUUGUAGACCCAUAAACGGAGGUUUAAAUCCUCCUCCUAUCA